ensembl:lncRNA
AAAAAUGCAAGAGUUUUAUUUGGACAGCACAAUACAAAGCAGUAAAAGUUUUUGUUUUUUUUUUUCUCCUUAAGCAUUUCUUUCUUUUACUUAUUUUUCUUUUUUUUUUUUCCCUAACUGAACUGAUAAUUUGGAAAUAGCAAAUUUUGUGGAUCGUGAAUGGUAGUUUCUAAGGAAGGUCUUUUAGUUGUUUUACACUUCCCUGUCAGAUGUUUCUGUUUGAAGCUGUCUGACUUCUAUAACUUUUAAUCAUUUUCAUUGCUGUCCCAAUUGCCCAGUGUUGCUUCCUUUUGCUUAUAGUCCUACACCAGCAACGAAAAUAGCCUGUUUGUCCUGUUCCUUGCUUUGCUGCUAUGACAUUGCAAUUUCCGUGUUCCCAGUCCAAAGGUGUGCCUUUUUUCUGUCCAAGAGGGAGGAAGUUGGUGCUGAGCUGUGGCGCUUCAGUAAGAGGUGUCUUCUCUCUAGCUAUAGCUAGGCAUCAUAAUCCCAUGAGCUUGAGGAAGGAUGUGAUAGGUAGAAGUGUUCCCUUGCCACACGGUGGGACACGAGGAGAGAUAAUUCUGCGUUACUUUACACAGUUGCAUACAUUCAAUCUUAUUCACAUUUCUGCUACAAGUACACUUUUGAAAAUUACAUAGGUUUUGGGUUUAGGCCCAAUGGCUUCCUCAGCUGUAUUGUGUCCUUUCCUGGGGCAAACCAAUAAGUGAUGGGUGACAAUUCUCCCUCACCCCUCCCACCACACAGAGUUACUAAAUUCCUCUUUCCAUCUCCUGGACUGAAUCAGGGCCAGAAUACUCAUCACCUCAUAGGACAUAGGAUCCUUUGAUGAAUGUACAUGAUGAAUACGGCAUCCAGUCCAGCUCACCAUAUUAUCGGACAAAUAAUUUCAAAAAGAAAGUCAUGAGAUAGUUUUCUAGUUUUAGCUGCUUUUGAAUUUUAUCAGUGAAAAUCUGCUGAAUUUAAUAGCAUAGCAAUAAGUAGUUAUGUAACCAAAGAGAAAGGCCAGAUAUUGCAUUAAAUCUUUUGUCUGUCCUACCUGCUAAAUUUUGUGGAGCAGCCUCUUAAUCUCACACUGUGAUGCAAUGCAUGUUUACUUGUCAAGUCUUCACCACAUCAAGUCAUACAGAAACACAACAUAGAGAAUGGGAUUUUUAGUCUGGGAGGAGAGUUCAGGUUGGGUCCCUCAGCCUUUUUCUGAUGCUGUUAAAAUAUCGUCAUUAAUGAUCUGGAUAUAACAGAAUAAAGAAUAAACUUGUUAAACUUUUAGAUAAUGCUAAGAUGGAUGUUAUAAAAGCACUUUGGAAUAAUCAGAAAGGUCAUAAUUUAAGGGUUCUUGAUGACUUGAAGAAAUAAUCUAAAGCUGAGGAGACAAAAUUCACUGAACACAAGUGUACAGUUCAACAUUUAGGAAGGCAAAAUCAAAGGUGUAAGUACAAAAUGAAUAAUAACAGUUGUCAGAGAUAUGGCAGUGAAGGCUGUGAGAGUUGUAGCAAAUCACAAAUGAAACAUGAAUCCCUGCUGGGAUGUUAUAACAAAAAGCAAAAAAGUGUAUCUCAUUCUGUGACGUAUUAGCAAGAACGGUGUAUAAAGGAACCAAUUACUUCCUCUAUUAAGUGCUGGUAAAAAACUGGAACUUGGGCAAUACAUUUAAAGAAGGAUCUAUAAAAAACUAGAGACUACUGAAAUGAAAGAAAAAAGCACUUCUGAAGUAGUUGGUCUUAUUUAAGCUAGAGAAGAGAACAGAUGGGAACAUGGCAGCAGGCUGUGGCUACUAAAAUGUCAGCAUAACGAUAUUCUCCAUAGUUAUCAGCAGCAAGAGAAAGGCUACUUUGCAGCAAGGAAGAUUCAAGGUAACUACUCAAGGGAAAAAUGGGUUUAUCCCCACUUUGGAGUAUGGGAAGGUCCUUCUUGGGUGGUUUUUAGCAUUCUGUUUUGCUGAGAUGAUGUAGUUAAAAUCAGUUUACUUCCAGAUACCACAUUCAGUUCUUAAGUUCCCUCCCUGACAAAAAUGCUGUUGAUUCUGCAACAAAUCUGUGAAACCAGUCAGUCUUUAAGAGCAGUGGCUGUUUUAUUUAGUUACUGUGAAAAAUAUUUCAAAAGAGAUGAAUAUAGAUUGUCCUAGCUUGAGAGACAAUGCAAGUACAAAGAGAAAUGCAUGGAAGAUUAUUUAUUCUACUCACAAUUUACUGUUUGAUUUUACCAAAAUCUUCC